rnacentral:lncRNA from 1 species
GCCUAUCCACGAAAAUGACCGGACAAAAAAAAUUCAGCUAGGGCCAUGCUUAGUUCACCCUAAAAACCAAAACUUUUUAAGAUUUCAUGUCACAUCGAAUUCUGCGGCACAUGCAAAAAGCAUUAAAUAUAGAUGAAAAUAAAAACUAAUUACACAGUUUGUCUGUAAAUCGUGAAAUGAAUCUUUUAAGUCUAGUUACUCUGUGAUUAGACUAAUAUAAAUAAAAAUGCUAUAAUGUUGUUUUUCAAAAAAAAUUGGAAACAAGGCCUAGGAUCCGACCACAAAACCAACCGCGUGAAAACAGGAACAAAAUGAAGCUCCGGCAAGAAGUGCUACAGAUCAGAUUAGCCAAGAAAGGAGAGUAGAGAAAUACACAGUUUAGUUAAAAUAAAAACGUGCCAGGACCCACUCAUCGACCGCGGGGUCGGAGCUAGCCUUAGGCCACUCGCCGACGACGCCGUCGCUCAGGCUGCUAUGCUCGGUGCCGUCCAGCCCG